ensembl:lncRNA
GUUCACAUUUUCUUUAGGGUGACUUUGUGUGACGGCUCAAAGUGGCUCAUUCACCAAGGGCCUAACGGUGACAUAGUAGUGAGCAGCGCCACCUACCUGUCUGGCAUGUGGAUGACACAAUGCAGCAAGAAUUUCUAUGGACAAAAGACUGUGUCUGACUUCGUGAAUGCUGCUGGAAAGCCAUUCAAUUUCCUGUUUGACUGCAACAUCUGGGACAUAGUGAUCUGGUGGCCAACUACACCUGUCACAACUACGACUCCACCUGUCCCAACUACAACUACACCUGUCCCAACUACGACUCCACCUGUCCCAACUACUACUACACCUGUCCCGACUACAACUACACCUGUCCCAACUACUACUACAACUGCGCCAACUACAACUACAACUGCGCCAACUACAACCACAGCUCUGCCAACAACAACAGGUGGCUGUAAACCGUUACCGUGGGACGAUCUUACAGCGCUCUAUAACUCACCUGUGUUCAAUGCUGAGUGGAUGGUGACGUCCGUGGGGAACACGCCUGUCCUCGCAGGAUUCAUCGCCCGCAGUGGAGUCAGGGUGACUUUGUGUGACGGCUCAAAGUGGCUCAUUCACCAAGGGCCUAACGGUGACAUAGUAGUGAGCAGCGCCACCUACCUGUCUAGCAUGUGGAUGAUACGAUGCAGCAAGAAUUUCUAUGGACAAAAGACUGUGUCUGACUUCGUGAAUGCCGCUGGAGCGUCAGUAAAUUUCCUGUUUAACUGCAACAUCUGGGACUUAGUGAUCUGGUGGCCGACUCCACCUGUCCCAACUACAACUACAGCUGCCCCGACUACAACUACAGCUGACCCGACUACUACUACACCGGCUCCAACUACAACCACAGCUCUGCCAACAACAACAGGUGGCUGUAAACCGUUACCGUGGGACGAUCUUACAGCGCUCUAUAACUCACCUGUGUUCAAUGCUGAGUGGAUGGUGAUGUCCGUGGGGAACACGCCUGUCCUCGCAGGAUUCAUCGCCCGCAG